AAGCUAGACUAAUAAAAUCAAAUAAAACAAGGGUAUCGUUGCUACAACAAUGGUUUCAUUUUGACGUAGUUGCUUGCGGAUUGGAUCAGAUUUUUUAAGGAAACAAUUCAAACUAAACAGAACUGUAAAUUGUUUUAAUCUUUAGAUAGGAUUUUUUUUUACUUAAGAACCGAUCCGAACCGUUUUGCAAAUACCACUAAUUCCAAGUUCCAAGUAGCUAAAUAUCUGGAUGCAGUGAAUUUGGAUCCAUCUCUUCACUAUUGUAUUUUUCUGUUCAAAAUAAAACGUUAUCUAAGAUUCUUUAACGAUAAAAAGAAAAUAAUUAUAGGAAUUAAAACAGAAAAAAAAAAGUUAAACUAGGAAAAAAAUAUUUAAAUCAAAUCAAAAUGAUUGUAUUCAUUUCCAUUGUGGGGUUUACCACCGAAGGAGUUGAAGGCAAGAACGGGAGGUGAGAAUGCAUAUUUAUUUAGCGAAGCAAAAAUUGGACAGCUGACAGUGACAGUGGCAGCAAAUUCCUUAUCUUGUUUUCUUUUCCUUUCUUCCUUUCCCUGUAUCAGUAAUGGUCUCUGCAACAGAAGCCAUUAAUUUGUUGUUGUUAUUCCUCUUUCUACAACAACAUUCCUUAUUAUCAAUGGCGGAUGAUUGAAUUCCCGUUCCAGCUGAUUGGCCGCAGCAGUUCCACUCGAUUCUGUUCAUAAACCGAAGCGGCGAUCUCCAGAAAACGAACUUGUGCUCAAAUACGACCUUGAAUGGGACAACGCUACUUCCUUUUACUACACCCUCCUACCCUUCGACAACUUCCUCUGCAAUGUUUGGGAGAAACGAGGACCCGUCAAGUGGAUCUUCUCCUCCUCCGGGAUGGUUGCUCAUGUGAUCUACACUGGCAGGCUCCUGUUUACUGUUUUGGGGACGCUGAGACACUGAACAAAACAAGCACCUCCCUCUUACAUUCACAAGAUGGUGCUUCUUCUCAUGGGAUGUUAAUCGGACAGAUACUUCAUUCUGCAUAUGCUAAUCAUACCAAAUGCUUCUGAAAAGAAGAAAUAUCGCCUUAAGUUGCAAGGAAGUGGUGUGAAGAGAAGAAUUUCAAUAUGAAGGAAUGUGUGAAGGUCUCUUAUGAGAGUCUUUAAUCCUUUUCUUUUGUAAUUUUGAGUGGGAUUAUAUUUGUAGAGUGAUACAUUACUUGAGAAGGAUUUUUUAAGUUACUUAAAAAAAUACCAAAGCUACCAUGUAUAAUUUUGUACCCAUAGCUAGUCAUGAAUAACGUCUUACUCGUAAAUUAUUACUAUCUUAAUUUUUUUUUUCAAAUGUCAAUAUUUGGUUUCCAGUUAAAAUACCAAAAAAAGAUAUGGCCAAUAAAGUGAUGGGUUUUUUACUUUUUAUUCAAGAUGCUCGCACAUCCUUGUAUAGUUUUGAAAAGAUUUUGAGACCGCAGUUCUCACUUCAGCUAUCAGCUAUAAUCAAAUAAAGAAGCUUCCAUUGGCCACAAGCACCGGGAGGGUAUGCAUGACUUGUGACUAGGCAAUUGCAUUCCAUCUGAAGAAUUGUGUGCUUUGGAAUGGAGAAGAAAAUCUUGAAAACAUUAUCUUAGAAGAUUCUGCUACCUUUUAUUUAUGAAAAUAUAUAUAUAUAUAUAAAAUGUUUCUUAUCACGUAAGGUGGCAACAAAGUAAAUAAAUAUAUUCUCCCGUCUAACUACAUUGCAUCCUUCACCCGUUAAGGUUGAUAAACAUGACCAUUCUUCUCUCUCAAAAUAAUUGUACAAUUUAUUGUAUGGUCAUUCUGGAUGCAUUCAACAGAAUGAACAAAAAGAAAAGGGAAAGAACGGGAACAA